rnacentral:lncRNA from 1 species
UGGUGGAAGAAAGUAGGAAUUUUAUUUUUGCACAGUGCUGAGCAAGGAGAGAGGGCAGCUAACACUGAAAUCCCAAACUCCCCGAAAAGCUAAAAGGAAGGAUUUUAUUUGGGGUUUUAGGGAGGGGAGGGGGAGCAUAUGGCUUUGCUGGUUGGAGCUUUCCCACCAGCCCAUCUUUGGCCUUGAGACACUUACAGAGAGGAGAGAGCUUGUGACCUUGGCUAGUCAGCAGCUUUCCCACCAGCCCAUAUCUCUUUGCGGGAGGAGAUAGUCCAGGUGCUUGUCCAUGACAGUGUUUGUCUCCAUGGAGGAUAGUGGAUUCUGGAGCCAGGAAGCCAGAGAGUCAGCAGGGAAUGAGUGUUUUGGUUUAACCCCAUAUAUGCUGGGUUUAAUGUGGGGAAACUGAUAUCAGGGUCGAUAUCAACUCCCCCUAUUUUAUGUCCAUCCCUCAAUCUUGAGGGAUUUGGGGUGGCGACUGGUCUAGCUACUUCCUGCUGAAAUGGGUGUAGGUUGUCUCAUCUCAUUGAACCAGUCUUUUAAUAAGGCAAUGAUGCUGGUGGGCUCCUGAAGGUAGGCCUGUAUCAUGUAAGUAAGCAACCAGGUAUUUAAUAAGAGAAACAAAAAGAGAAAAACAAGGUUAAUGGUUGGAGAAAAUUAUAAACCAGUUUCUGAGCCCAGGGGGCAGCCAAUCAAGAUUCCUAGAAGUCAGGGUUGAAGCAUCUUUUGCAGUUUGAAAUGUCUCUGAUGGUGUCAUCCAGCUUUCAGGUAGCUCUUUGAGUGGCUUACACAGCAGUAGACAUGAAUCUCUCUUAAGUUUAUAUUGGGUCUUCCAGCUUCAGUUUGUAAGGCUUUAGGAAAAAGGGCAGAUUUAGUUUUCAAUGACUCCAAAUGAAAAUAAUGGGAAAAAACCCUGAAAAUGUUAGUUUGGAGGUUUUUAGCCAGGUAUUUCAGGAGAUGAAGAAUUCAAGAUCCAGUCCAGAUAACAGAAGUAAAACAAAAAUUUCAAACAGAAUUGAAAAACUAAAAUUCAAUAUUUAUAAACAUGUAUUAUAGUUUCUAUUGAAACAUAAUCUUCCUCCCUAGAAUCACCCUCAAUUUCACUAGACAUAGCCAAAUUAAGACUAACUGGUUUGCAAAAUAAGUCUAGUUUUAAUAAAUUUGGCAUAAUUAUUUACAUAAGUACAGCAAGAAUAGUAAUUGAUCAUAUAGGCUCUUUCACAUCUGCUUUGCUGGAACCUUAUAAGGAAUCUCAGUUUGAUCUUUAAAGGCCUCUCAAGGAAAGCCAAGCAAAGGACCUGUUAUCACAUUCUGCCUGCAGUACCUACAGAUUUGGGUGAAUUCUUCUCUUCGUGAGCUCCCCCAAAAUAUUCCUUGUACCUGCCAGAGGGAGCGACAUUCUUUGCUCAAAAGUACCAGGUUACAGAACCCAUAAACAUAGUACCAGGCCAAUAUUUCCAAUCAAAGUCUUGGUAAUAGAACCAGUGUUUCCAAUUGUGUCCUGU